GCUGCUGGCUGGGCGGCGGCUCCCCGCGAAGAGCGGGGGGAGGAAAGUCCGGGCUUCACAGGAGGCUGUGCUGGGUAACGCCCAGGCGUCCGCAAGGGCGACGGAAAGUGCCACAGAAACGCAAACCGCCCGUUUAGGGCAAGGGUGAAACGGUGCGGUAAGAGCGCACCAGCGUGCGCGUGAGCGCUCGGCUGGGCAAACCCCACAGGAAGCAAGGUCAAAUAGGGAGGGGAUGACGCGCUCCGCCGACCCUCCGGGUUGACCGCUGAAGGCUUCGCGUAAGCGAGUGCCUCAGAGAGAUCGCCGCCACGAACAGAACCCGGCUUACACGCCAGCAGCCCGC
rnacentral:RNase_P_RNA from 1 species